rnacentral:lncRNA from 10 species
GUCCAGGCCUUCAUCUUUCUUCUGUGCUGGAUGCUUCCCUGCUCUUGAACAUCAAGACUUCAGGUUUUGGGACUCAGACUGAGCCACUGCUGGCUUCCUUGCUCCUCAGCUUGCAGAUGCCUAUUGUGGGACUUCACCUUACAGUCAUACCCGAUGUGAAGCCUGACUGAGCAGAGUGGAGACCAGCAGCUGCACGUCAAGUGGCCUUCCCAGGACUUGACUCCAUAUGCAUGUUCUCGUCCAUGGGCUCAUACCCAGUCCAAAGGACUUUACCCCAGCUCCAUCUUUGCCCAGACACACUUGAGGCUGCAGGGUUUUGCUUCCCAAGGCCCUCACCAGAAUCAGAUGCUGGCACCAUGCUUCCUGUACAGCUUAUAAAACCGUGAGCCAAUUAAAUCUCUUUUCCUUAUAAAUUGCCAAGCCUCAGGUAUUCAUUUAUAGCAAUGGAAAUGGACCAACAGAGGUAGUCUGCUUUAUAAUGGGUCAGAACGUGAAUCACAUGAGGAUACGAUAGUGCUUGUUAUUCCUGAAUUUUCCACAUCAUACAAUUCACCUUCUGGGCUCCAUAUAGGGGAAGUGAUUCUGGAAAACGUGGUUCCCACUUCAGAAGGAACAGUGGUGUUGGGGACACGUUGACAACAGAAAGUCUAGCACAGUCCACCCCAUUCAAAAAUAAGCAUCUGUAGACAUUUUCAACUUCCAAAUAAAAGCAGCAACAAUACUAUUUUCCACCUAAUGUGAUGCAACUAUUCAUUUUACAACCCAAAGACCUUUAAUCUUCUCUAUGGAAGAGAUAUUUGAAAAUGCUAGUCCGUCUCCCAGAUGACUAACAACCCCUUUUGCUCUUUCAUGCUAUAAAUACCAAGGAUCAACCAAUAUAAA